UAUUCUGGGCUUUAUUAUAUCUUGGAAACGUGUUUACUGACUCAAUACACACCGAUCUGAUGGGGGCAAAUAUGUUUUAAGGAAAAUGACAUUACAACGUGCCUUAGAACAUUUUCUAAUCUACAGUAUUUUCUCAUCUUAUUUUACAUGAAAUCUAUACUUACAAAUACAACUUUAGUAAAUUUCAAAUAUUACCCAAGCAACUUGCAAGAACAGUACUUUUUUUUUUUUUUUUUUCAAAAAGUUGUGAAUGUGUAAGUGAGUGGGCCUUAACAUGUGGAUCAAGGUUUCUUAACCCUAGCCGUCGCCAUCGCCAACUCCCCUCGCCGCAGCAGUCGCUCACCAUCCUUGCCGGCGCCGUCGCCCACGUUGUUCGUCUUCUUUUCCGUCCCUGUCUUCGUCCCAGUCCUCGGAGCACUCACACCAGCAGUCCUGCGGCACCCUUCCCCUCACGUCUUCCACCCCUACUACUGGUCAAGAGCCAUGUCCUUUGAAUCACGCAGGGAGCCUUAAUCGCAGUCGCCGUCGUGGACUCGUCGACCAUCACUCGAUCGCUGCUUCACGAAUCACGCAGGGGGCCUUGUGACAUCCCUCGCAGCCUCGCCUUACCUUUUCCAGUUUUCCCAUCAAUCGCUCGCUCGCUCUUAUAGUGUAGACUCAGUACAUUCUUACAGCCAUACAACCUGAAUCAGCAUCAACCUAUCUUCGCCAGUUCUCCUAUACUAAUUUUCUUGCUAGAAUAUCCUCGCUGCAAGUAUACAAGACUCGGCGCGUGGGAUCAAAAGCUUGGAAAUGGAGAACGCAACAACCUAGGUUCAUUGAACCUAGACGGGUUGAGAGAUCCAUAAAAUGCGGCUUUGUUCCGGGAAAAAAAAACAACGAUUUGUGGAAAAACUACGAGCUGCUGCCAUUGAGGAUAGAUCACAUAAAUUGCACGCCGCCGCCUAGGAAGUCGUCAAAUAAUGCAGGCGUGGGUUGAUCGCUUGAAGAGGUUUUUUUUCCUGAAAAAGAGGGAAUAUUGUAAAAGACUUGCUCUGCUCGGAAAGGAGCAUACAUAGUGGAAUCCUUUGGUGGAAUUGGCCAAAGGCGAGGACGUAGGCUGGGGAUAAGCUGAACCUCAUAAAACUUGGUGUUCUUCUCAUUCUUACUCCUUUUAUUUUCUACACUAUAUAUUCUUGUGUAUGCUAAGUGCAGGUUGCAGUGCUUAAAAACAAAAUUCAAAGAAGACUCUUGAUUUUAGAAAGUAUGUUUCAAUUAACCAUUUUCGGAAACUCACAAGGGAGUACGUUGGUUAAUUUGUGGAAAUUUUAAUUAAGAGAAACACAAUAAAGUUCAAUCCAAAGCUGGACUUGCAAAUAAAUGCAGGGCUGGUACCAAAAA